rnacentral:rRNA from 1 species
GACGAACGCUGGCGGCGUGCUUAACACAUGCAAGUCGAACGGAAAGGCCCUGCUUGCAGGGUCCUCGAGUGGCGAACGGGUGAGUAACACUUGGGUGAUCUGCCCUGCACUUCGGGAUAAGCCUGGGAAACUGGGUCUAAUACCGGAUAGGAUCCCUUUUUAGUGUGAUGGUUGGAAAGUUUUUUCGGUGUAGGAUGAGCUCGCGGCCUAUCAGCUUGUUGGUGGGGUGAUGGCCUACCAAGGCGGCGACGGGUAGCCGGCCUGAGAGGGUGGACGGCCACAUUGGGACUGAGAUACGGCCCAGACUCCUACGGGAGGCAGCAGUGGGGAAUAUUGCACAAUGGGCGCAAGCCUGAUGCAGCGACGCCGCGUGGGGGAUGACGGCCUUCGGGUUGUAAACUCCUUUCGCUAGGGACGAAGCUUUUUGUGACGGUACCUAGAUAAGAAGCACCGGCUAACUACGUG